ensembl:lncRNA
CAUUAUUCAAACUGAAUUAUUAACUCAAGAUUUUUUCUUAAGUUGCAGUGGCAAAUCAUUUUUGAACACUGAAACAACCAGGAUUUCAGAAAAAAAAUGUUGUGCUCAUGUAACUACUUUGUGGUCUGUCCCUUUUUUUGUUCUUCAGGUCGUCAAUUAAGAUGUAGAACAAGACUGGACCCAGCUCUGAUGCCUGAGGAACAUCACUAGUUACAGACCUCCAACCAGACUCUGCACAGCUGAUGACAACCCUCUGAGCUCUCCCAGUCAGCCAGCUUCAGCGAAUACAC